CAGACAACACUAGAAGAUUUGUUUAAUGAAUUUGUGAAAGAGAGGCUAGAAAAGAAAGCAAGCUCUAAGAGAGGAUGUACACUUUGGAAAGGUAUAUACCAAUGUCAAUAGGCUGGUGAUGAUGAUUGACUAAAACGACGCGGGACGCGCACUGUGGUGGACACUGCAAUAUCGUGAAAUAGAAAACACACACCCACUUCAAGGUCAAAUACGGUUUGCGGAAGAAACCCGUGGAAUGUUAAAUGUUCGCAUAAUGUUCUUCUUACCAACAACACGCCAUAAUCAUGCCUAGAUAUCCUCAAUUUGUUAUAAAUAAAAGCAGUCACUGACAAAAUGAAAUAUUUCGAAGAUCAAAACAACUGAUGUAUUAUCACUUUUGUAUUGUCAUUACUGGUAGAAGUUGUCGAUAAAUAUGUUAAAUACCUUAUCACGUGACUAUGUAAUGUUCAUUCAAUGCCGUAAUUAAAUUAAUUUAUCAUGAUUAAA